rnacentral:rRNA from 1 species
GACGAACGCUGGCGGCGUGCCUAAUACAUGCAAGUUGAGCGCUGAAGGUUGGUACUUGUCCCAACUGGAUGAGCAGCGAACGGGUGAGUAACGCGUGGGGAAUCUGCCUUUGAGCGGGGGACAACAUUUGGAAACGAAUGCUAAUACCGCAUAAAAACUUUAAACACAAGUUUUAAGUUCGAAAGAUGCAAUUGCAUCACUCAAAGAUGAUCCCGCGUUGUAUUAGCUAGUUGGUGAGGUAAAGGCUCACCAAGGCGAUGAUACAUAGCCGACCUGAGAGGGUGAUCGGCCACAUUGGGACUGAGACACGGCCCAAACUCCUACGGGAGGCAGCAGUAGGGAAUCUUCGGCAAUGGACGAAAGUCUGACCGAGCAACGCCGCGUGAGUGAAGAAGGUUUUCGGAUCGUAAAACUCUGUUGGUAGAGAAGAACGUUGGUGAGAGUGGAAAGCUCAUCAAGUGACGGUAACUACCCAGAAAGGGACGGCUAACUACGUG